rnacentral:rRNA from 1 species
GUGGCUAAACCACGAUAGGUCAUCGCUGCUGGAAUGGGCAAUGGCUCAAACCUACAUGGCCCUAGGAUGGGACUGCGGCCGAUCAGGUCGUUGGCGGGGUAAUGGCCCACCAAGCCUGUAACCGGUACGGGCUCUGAGAGGAGGAGCCCGGAGAUGGGCACUGAGACAAGGGCCCAGGUCCUAUGGGACGCAGCAGGCGCGAAACCUUCGCAAUAGGCGAAAGCCUGACGAGGUUAAUCCGAGUGUUUUCUGCUAAAGGAAUCUUUUGUCAGCUCUAAAUAGGCUGAUGAAUAAGGGGUGGGCAAGCCUGGUGUCAGCCGCCGCGGUAAUACCAGCACCCCGAGUGGUCGGGAUGAUUAUUGGGCCUAAAGCAUCCGUAGCCGGUCUUGUAAGUCUUCCGUUAAAUCCACCUGCUCAACAGUUGGGCUGCGGGAGAUACUGCAGGACUAGGAGGCGGGAGAGGCGAGGGGUAUUCCUUGGGUAGGGGUAAAAUCCUCUGAUCCAUGGAGGACCACCAGUGGCGAAGGCGUCUCGCCAGAACGCGCUCGACGGUGAGGGAUGAAAGCUGGGGGAGCAAACCGGAUUAGAUACCCGGGUAGUCCCAGCUGUAAACGAUGCAG